rnacentral:rRNA from 1 species
UACGUAGGGGGCGAGCGUUAUCCAGAUUUACUGGGCUUAAAGCGUGUGUAGGCGGAUCUGUAAGUACCUUGUGAAAUCCCACGGCUCAACCGUGGAACUGCUUGGUAUACUGCGGGUCUUGAGCUAUCUAGGGGCAACUGGAACAAACGGUGGAGCGGUGAAAUGCGUAGAUAUCGUUUGGAACGCCAAUGGUGAAAACAGGUUGCUGGGGAUAUGCUGACGCUGAGACACGAAAGCCAGGGGAGCAAACGGG